rnacentral:tRNA from 1 species
GCUGCUGUAGCUUAGCUGGCAAAGCACUCGACCGAUAAUCGAGAGACCGGUGGUUCGAGUCCAUCCAGCAGCACGA